GAUGAACGCUAGCUACAGGCUUAACACAUGCAAGUCGCGGGGUAACAUCUGGUAGAGCUUGCUCUUCCAGGAUGACGACCGGCGCACGGGUGAGUAACGCGUAUCCAACCUGGCCCAUACCACGGGAUAGCCCGUCGAAAGGCGGAUUAAUACCGUAUGCUGUCAUUAAGAUGCAUAUAUUGAUGACGAAAGGACUGGCGGUAUGGGAUGGGCAUGCGGCGCAUUAGGUAGUCGGGGGGUGUAACGGACCACCGAGCCGACGAUGCGUAGGGGUUCUGAGAGGAAGGUCCCCCACACUGGUACUGAGACACGGACCAGACUCCUACGGGAGGCAGCAGUGAGGAAUAUUGGUCAAUGGUCGGAAGACUGAACCAGCCAAGCCGCGUGAAGGAAGAAGGUGCUCGGCAUCGUAAACUUCUUUGUCAGGGAACAAAGGGCGGUACGUGUACCGCUGUGAGUGUACCUGAAGAAAAGCAUCGGCUAACUCCGUGCCAG
rnacentral:rRNA from 1 species